rnacentral:rRNA from 1 species
GGGGAAUUUUGGACAAUGGGCGUAAGCCUGAUCCAGCAAUGCCGCGUGAGUGAAGAAGGCCUUCGGGUUGUAAAGCUCUUUUGUCAGGGAAGAAACGGGCCUUUCUAAUACAGAGGCCUAAUGACGGUACCUGAAGAAUAAGCACCGGCUAACUACGUGCCAGCAGCCGCGGUAAUACGUAGGGUGCAAGCGUUAAUCGGAAUUACUGGGCGUAAAGCGUGCGCAGGCGGUUUUGUAAGACUGUCGUGAAAUCCCCGGGCUCAACCUGGGAAUGGCGAUGGUGACUGCAAGGCUAGAGUUUGGCAGAGGGGGGUAGAAUUCCACGUGUAGCAGUGAAAUGCGUAGAUAUGUGGAGGAACACCGAUGGCGAAGGCAGCCCCCUGGGUCAAAACUGACGCUCAUGCACGAAAGCGUGGGGAGCAAAC